AUUGAACGCUGGCGGCAUGCUUUACACAUGCAAGUCGAACGGCAGCGCGGGCUUCGGCCUGGCGGCGAGUGGCGAACGGGUGAGUAAUGCAUCGGAACGUGCCCAGUAGUGGGGGAUAGCCCGGCGAAAGCCGGAUUAAUACCGCAUACGACCUGAUGGUGAAAGCGGGGGACCGAAAGGCCUCGCGCUAUUGGAGCGGCCGAUGUCGGAUUAGCUAGUUGGUGGGGUAAAGGCUUACCAAGGCGACGAUCCGUAGCUGGUCUGAGAGGACGACCAGCCACACUGGGACUGAGGCACGGCCCAGACUCCGACGGGAGGCAGCAGUGGGGAAUUUUGGACAAUGGGGGCAACCCUGAUCCAGCCAUGCCGCGUGCGGGAAGAAGGCCUUCGGGUUGUAAACCGCUUUUGUUCGGGAAGAAAUCCUCUGGGCUAAUACCCCGGGGGGAUGACGGUACCGGAAGAAUAAGCACCGGCUAACUACGUG
rnacentral:rRNA from 1 species